GACUGGAGGUUGGGCGGGGGGCGGGGCGGGGAUCCAGGGCCUUGGACCCUCGGAUGAGGAAACUGGGACGCGAAUUGGGGAACCACCCAAGGUCACGCGGCGAGGCGGUGGCUACGCAUAGGUCGCAGCCCCGGGCACCGGGCAGGGCGCUGCCCUUCAAAGCAGCCCACAGCGACUAGCGGUUUAUGCUUGGAAGCUAGGGAGGCUUCCUUCUGCGUUUAUUCCUGUAAACCCGGCAACCUGCUCUGACGGCGAUUCCUGCAGGCGAAUACCUAAAAAACCCCGCCUCCUCCCGCGGUAUCUCCGAGCGCAUCCCACGGUGGCUUCCGGGCUGCUGUGACCUUUAUGACCCACAGACGACCCCCCACGGGCCGGCUCUCACGCUGCCCCUUGGGACGGCGGGGGCCGGGGGUCAGUGUGGGAGGCCCGAACCGCCCCGGGGGUAGGAGGGAACAAAGCGGGCACUCAGCUCCGGCACCUGGGUAAGUGGGCCGCGAAGGGGAGGAGGAGCUGCCCGCAGGAGCGGAUAAAAGGACCGGGCAGUGGCGGAGGAGACCCGGCCUCCCAGUCGCCUCCGCUCCUCCCUGCCCCCCAGCCCCCAACAUUGGGGCCAUUCACAGGGCCCCUCACCAGCUGCCCUACCCUCCCCUGCCCCCUCCCCUGACAAAGGUCCAGCUGCGACUCCAGAUGCAGAGGGAGAUCCUUGGGGGAGGGGGAGUCUCCUCCAAGCCUCUUGCAUCAUCCUCAGAUGAUGCAACCUUCUCAGACAUGUGACGAGUGCGUGGGUGAGGGUCUGAGGCUGCACCUGCGAUGCCACCUUCCGCCCCUCCCCCAUAACUGCUCCACCCAGUAGCCCAGAAAACAAAGAUGAUGUCAAGGUCGAAUCGACGCACUCCUCUCAUCCUCCUGGCCAACAGGAGACUACCGCGGCAGCUCCCAAGGAAAGGUGGGAAGUCACGGGGGUCUCCUGUGUCUUUCACCAGCAUCGGGACCCACAGGAAGCUCUCUGGUGGACAGGGGGUCGCUCUCCCAGAGCAGGAGCCCGUUAGGUGUCCGGUCAGGUCUCGGGCACUCCCUCCUGGUCUUGGAGCCAGUGUAAGAGGGGAAGUGGAGUAACACCUGUGGGCCACCUACACCAAGACUGUCCUUGCUGCGCAUGCGCGUCCUUGCUCGUCCUCAUCGCCUUGUGAGCUAAGAGCAGCUGUCUUUCUCUUUCGGUUUGGAGAUGAAGAAACGGAGUCUUGUCAGGAUGUGAACUCGCGCGCUGGUUCCAGACUCACCUCCGAGGAGGAGUCUGGCUGCAGCAGCGCCGGGCUGGCCCUGGGGUUUUCCUCCAGGUCCACUGCUGGGAAGUGCAGCCACUGCCCACCCCUUCUCGGUCCCUCCAGGCCACAGGAUGUAAAACCAGGGGAAGCCCGGAGUACAAGGGGCUAGCAACCCAGGCCUCCUGGAGGUCAGGGCCUCGGGACUGCAGCACCUCAGCGACUCCCUCCUGGACCCCCAGGGAGCAGCACGGAGGCUGGGUGUCUACACCGGGACCUUGGCUCUGCUGCCCAGCCCUGAGGAGCUCUCUGCAGUAGAAGAUGGCCCAAGUGCUUGGGGCCCUGGACCCACGUUGGAGACCCAGAUGAAGCUCGUGGCUCCUGGCUUUGAAUCGACCCAGCUCCGGCUGUUGCAGCCAUUUGGGGAGUGAACCAGUACAGAUGGAAGAGCUUUCUCUCUUUCUCUCCCUCUGUCUGUAACUCUGCCUCUCAAAUAAAUAAAUAAAUCUAAAAAAAAAAAAAAAAGGGUAGCUUCUCUGGGAUCAUCUGUCCUUGUUCAAUGAGCCAGACAGAGGGUGGAUUUGUCAUAAUGAAGUCUCAGAGAUGAGUGUGAAUGGGGCUGUGGGCCGGGGAAGGGACGGUGAUGAGACUUGCCUGCCCCCAAAGGUCAGUGCCAGAGCCCCAGGGUGGGAGAAGGCAGAUUUGUAGAAAGUUUGCCAGCCUCUGUUGGAAACUCAGAAAACUGGAGGCUCGGGAGACAAGGUGAGCGUUGGCAGAAGCAGGAGGAAACCUUGGGGGCUGGUGUUGUGGUACAGUGGGUUGGGCCGUCCAUAUUAGAGUGCCAGGUCAAGUUCCAGCCGCUCUGUUUCCCAUCCAGCUUCCUGCUAGCACACCUGGGAAAGCUGCGGGUGAUGGCCCAGGUACUGGGGCUCCUGUCACUCAUGUGGGAGACCCAGAUGGAGUUCCUGGCUCCAACAGCCCAGACCUGGCUGUUGUGGUCAUUUGGAGAGUGAACCAGCAGAUGGAGGAUCUCUCUCUCUCUCUCUCUCUCUCUCUCUCUCUCUCUAUAUAUAUAUAUAUAUAUAUCUUUGUUGCUUUGCCUUUCAAAUAAAUAAAUACAUAUUUUUUAAGGCUGAGAGAGGGAAGCUUGACGCGCUGGAUCCCCAAGGUGCCCAGACCUCACCAGGCACUACCUGAAACAAGACCUAGGUUUUGCAGUGUGCCAUGCUGCACCAUGUGUGUUUGUUCCCUAAGUUUUCUCAUCUGAUCCUCGCAGCAUGCUGUGAGGUCAACACUGUUAUGGGUCCAUUUUGCAGAAGAGGAAAUGGGCUCAAAGGUCACUUGGCCAAAGCAGUGGUCAUUCGUGCUGCUCCCCACAAACUUCCGGCUCUCUGCUUCUGGCACGGGGUAAGCCUGCAGGUCCUCCCUCUUUGGCGGUGCUGUCUGGCCAUUGACUUACUUUGACCCGUGAGAUGCAGGUGGACUUUGGUAGCUGUGACCAGUGACUUUCGUCGGUGGAAUGCGGUGGUGCUGACGUGUGUCACCUCAAGGUGGAAGUCUGAAGAGCCUCUGGCACCCUCGUGCCUGUGUUAUUCCUAGCAGGUGAAUGAGAAAUAAACUAUUUGCAAAGCCAGUGAGCUUACAGUUGUGUGUUGCCAUGCAUGGCCUGGCCUAGUUUGAUAGA